rnacentral:rRNA from 1 species
AGGACGAACGCUGGCGGCGUGCUUAACACAUGCAAGUCGAGCGAGGCCCUCUCUUCGGAGAGGUGCCCUAGCGGCGAACGGGUGAGUAACACGUGGGCAACCUGCCCCUAGCACUGGGAUAAGCCCGGGAAACCGGGUCUAAUACCGGAUAUGACCUUCAAGGGCAUCCUCGAAGGUGUAAAGGAUUCUGGCUAGGGAUGGGCCCGCGGCCUAUCAGCUUGUUGGUGGGGUAAUGGCCCACCAAGGCAACGACGGGUAGCCGGCCUGAGAGGGCGACCGGCCACACUGGGACUGAGACACGGCCCAGACUCCUACGGGAGGCAGCAGUGGGGAAUAUUGCACAAUGGGCGAAAGCCUGAUGCAGCGACGCCGCGUGAGGGAUGACGGCCUUCGGUUGUAAACCUCUUCAGCUCCGACGAAGCGAAGUGACGGUAGGAGCAGAAGAAGCACCGGCCAACUACGUGCCAGCAGCCGCGGUAA